rnacentral:rRNA from 1 species
UACGUAGGGUGCGAGCGUUAAUCAGAAUUACUGGGCGUAAAGCGUGCGCAGGCGGUUAUAUAAGUCAGGUGUGAAAUCCCCGGGCUCAACCUGGGACCUGCAUUUGAGACUGUAUAGCUAGAGUACGGUAGAGGGGGAUGGAAUUCCGCGUGUAGCAGUGAAAUGCGUAGAGAUGGGGAGGAACACCGAUGGCGAAGGCAAUCCCCUGGACCUGUACUGACGCUCAUGCACGAAAGCGUGGGGAGCAAACAGG